rnacentral:lncRNA from 1 species
GCAACAAAACGCCUCUUGAUUGGUCUCCCGUUACCAUAGUUUCCCCCAGGGGGCGGGGCUCCGCGGCAACAACAUGCCUUCUGAUUGGUCGAGCCCGCUGACGGUUGAAGCACAACUGCCGCCCGGCUACGCGGGAGGCCAGGUGCUGCCCACUGCGCGUGCUCCAGGGGUCGGCCUAGCUGCGGACGCGCGCAGGGAGGUGUGACCUGCCGAGCUGGGUGAAGGUGGGUGCCAGCCGGAGGAGGGGCCGCGGCGUUCAGCUGCCCCCUCGGUCGGACUGUGGACGUGGGUUGUUUCGAGGGAACGCCCACCUCUGCCUGCACGCCGCGUGCGCCCCAGGUUGCACCCCUCCUCUCGAGUGGUCCCCGUACGUGGAUGCGUGGGCGACGCGCUACCCCGCGGAUGUCUGCAGACCUGCCACCCCCGGUUAAGAGGACCAUGCACUCAACAAAUAUUUGUGAGGCCUACUGUGGGAAGGCCACAAGACAGCUGGAGCAGUUAUGAUGAGUGUGAUGAGCGCCGUUAAAGGCCCGCCCCGGCUUAUCUACCUAAGGCCAGGCCUGGCAGCGCGGCUACCAUCCAUCUCGAGGUGGCUCCCACACUUGCCGGCUGGCUUCUUCCCGUUCUCCCAGCAGAUACCCGGGACGCCCUUCCUCCCCAUCACUCGCCACUGGGGUAGCUGUGAAUUAGGCCCCUUCUUUCUCCCAUCACAGUGAUGAUGCUGAUGACGUUUGCGCACAGCUGGACGGCCUUUUGCAAGGGCACAACCAACCUCCCAGCCUGUGUACACUGGCACUAGGAUCUGACAGUGAAAAGAAUGGCUCUGUGUAUGCCCUCCUGGUGCUUAUUUUAGCAAGGAGUUACAUGUGGGGCAGUGUGGAGGGCGGACUGGAAGCGGUUUGAAGACAGCGAGAGGCCCAGCUGGGCACCAUGAUGGCUUACACUUCGAUAGUGACCGUGCGUGGAGAGCAAGAAGUGAAUUCCUCAUGUUUGGCCUUUUUGGAGAGAACUUUGGCAGUCUCGACUACAAAUGGACAAAUACCCUCAGAAUCAAUAAAUCUACUUGAAUGUCGUGGUUCAUUAACAUCAGACUGGUUACAUGAAUACACAAGGAUGACUCGUGAAAUGCUAUGCAGCAGUUAAAAAGAAAGAAGUAGAGCCAAAUAUAUUGUCAUAGAAAGAUUUCCAAGACAUUAGGUGGAAAAAGCAAGUUGCUGGAUAAUACGUACACUUUUACCCCAUUUCUGUAAAAACUAAAUAAAACAAUACAUUUCUAUAUGUAAAUGUAUAGAAACUACUGAUGACAGUGAUUUUUCUCUGGGGAGGGGAAGUAAGAUCAGAGGAAGGUCAAGUGGACUUUUAUUGUUUCCAGUUUUUACAAAGAAAUAUUGAUUCAACAAAUAUGUAUCCAGUGCCUGUCAUGUGUCCCACCCACAUCUAGCCGGGUGUCAGAGAUAAAGAUAGAGCAUGGAUAAAGGCCGUGAGGUCGUGACUCUUGUGGUCUGGGAUGA